CCUACGGGGGGCUGCAGUGGGGAAUAUUGCACAAUGGGCGCAAGCCUGAUGCAGCCAUGCCGCGUGUGUGAAGAAGGCCUUCGGGUUGUAAAGCACUUUCAGCGGGGAGGAAGGCGUUAAGGUUAAUAACCUUGUCGAUUGACGUUACCCGCAGAAGAAGCACCGGCUAACUCCGUGCCAGCAGCCGCGGUAAUACGGAGGGUGCAAGCGUUAAUCGGAAUUACUGGGCGUAAAGCGCACGCAGGCGGUCUGUCAAGUCGGAUGUGAAAUCCCCGGGCUCAACCUGGGAACUGCAUUCGAAACUGGCAGGCUAGAGUCUUGUAGAGGGGGGUAGAAUUCCAGGUGUAGCGGUGAAAUGCGUAGAGAUCUGGAGGAAUACCGGUGGCGAAGGCGGCCCCCUGGACUAAGACUGACGCUCAGGUGCGAAAGCGUGGGGAGCAAACAGGAUUAGAUACCCGUGUAGUC
rnacentral:rRNA from 1 species